GUGGUUUUAGCUCAGUUGGUUAGAGCAUCGGUUUGUGGUACCGAGGGUCGUGGGUUCGAGCCCCAUAUUCCACCC
rnacentral:tRNA from 1 species